UACCGUCGUCUCUCUCAAACCAAAUCCCUAAUCUCCAUCCUUCGCGUCUUCAUCUCUCUUCAGUCCCGUAGCCACAGCCACCCACCCCAGUCGCCAGUCCCACAGCCACCCACCCUGCCACCCACUCGCCAAAGCCAGUCUCUUCUCUCCAUCCUUUGCCGCUUCAGUCCCGCAGCCAAUUGAUUUUGUGAAAGGGUGGGUCGCUUGUCAAGGUUGGAUCUUUGAUAAGAUUUGUUGCGGAGAGGUAAUAUCUGCUCUUAGGUUUUAGCUCAGCUUAUUUUUUCACUAUAACCCUGGCGCAUGUUUCUAUCUCUGUUUGGUUCCCGAGAAAAUUGAGGAAAGCCAUGGAAAUUCCAUUUUGAGGUCGAACUAGAAUUCUAAUUCAUGUGUUCUUUAAUCUUUACACCGAGAUUAUGCUUAUUAUGUAUAUAAAACCUUUUUUUUUUUCCAUUCACAAUUAAAUUGAUUACCUUGACUUUUAAUUUAUCCAGAGAAUCUUGUUGUUUUGCUGAUUAUUAUUAAAUCUUUUGGUUGUUGGUUUACUGAGCUAUUAAUUUAUUCAAUAUUAUUGGCUGAAUUAGAUCUAACUUAUUGUU
rnacentral:lncRNA from 1 species